CCUACGGGGGGCAGCAGUGAGGAAUAUUGGUCAAUGGACGCAAGUCUGAACCAGCCAUGCCGCGUGCAGGAAGACGGCUCUAUGAGUUGUAAACUGCUUUUGUACGAGGGUAAACGCAGAUACGCGUAUCUGUCUGAAAGUAUCGUACGAAUAAGGAUCGGCUAACUCCGUGCCAGCAGCCGCGGUAAUACGGAGGAUUCAAGCGUUAUCCGGAUUUAUUGGGUUUAAAGGGUGCGUAGGCGGUCGGAUAAGUUAGAGGUGAAAUCCCGAGGCUCAACUUCGGAAUUGCCUCUGAUACUGUUCGGCGAGAGAGUAGUUGCGGUAGGCGGAAUGUAUGGUGUAGCGGUGAAAUGCUUAGAGAUCAUACAGAACACCGAUUGCGAAGGCAGCUUACCAAGCUACUUCUGACGUUGAGGCACGAAAGUGUGGGGAGCAAACAGGAUUAGAUACCCGAGUAGUC
rnacentral:rRNA from 1 species